rnacentral:misc_RNA from 1 species
AUGAUUAUUUCCCCAGAUGAUCGAAGUUGAAAUUACUGAGCGCUUUUACUGUAUUUUCUCCUUAUUAGGAGAAAAUCCAAGCCAGAUAUUCUGAUCCAUCACUUAUGUUUUGCAUUUAUAGAGUUGAAAUUUGUACAUUUAUGUCUUCCAGUGCUAUUAUUCCAAUUUCUGUGUUUUUUUAAAACAAUUUUUGAUGAAAUAUAUUGAUAAUUAUGGUGUGUAAGGAUGAUGAAGAAAUCAUUCGGAUUCCCACUGAUGUUUUUAAUGUGAUUACUACAACCAGCUACUUCUGACUUCACAUCAUAGCACUACCUUUUCCUCUUUUAUCUUUUUUUUUAACUUUUAUGUAUUGUUUCUUGUUGUUACUGAUAUUGGCUUGAAGAUUGUAAUUUUUGGAAUUGUUUAACAAUGGUUGUUUUGUACUCUACUUAUGGAUUUAAAUCUAUUUAUAUGAAUCAAUCAAUUGCUCUUAUCUUCAUUUGAAUGUAGUACAAACAUAUUGACCUGUUGCUACGUGAUAACCAUCCUUGUAAAUGGAAGAACAGUCGGCGACAAUGCGAAGCAAUUUCAGGGAGCAGAACAAGGUGGUUGAGGGAAUUGUUGAAAUUUUGGAACAUCAACUUUUCUUCAUGUUUUCAGUUAUAGUAUAGACAUUUUGUGAACUAUGUAAUACUUGUUUAAACUAAAUAAUAUGAUGUGAUGCUUCACAAUACAAUAUACAUAUAUUUCGAUGGCUAUCUAAUGAAGUUCAAAAUUUUUUAUCCA